UGAUGCAGAUUUCAUCACAGGAGUUCCUAAAGGACUCAUGCUCUAUGGUGUAGUGUCCAUAUUGAAUGGAAAGGACCUGAAGUCUCUGGUCAACUUGACAGGAGAGCAGAUGGGGUCUUACUUCGGAUACGCAGUGGCAGCGACCGACAUCAACAACGACGGGUGAGUGGAUGGAUC